rnacentral:rRNA from 1 species
AGGCCCUUUCGGGGGUACUCGAGUGGCGAACGGGUGAGUAACACGUGGGUGAUCUGCCCUGCACUUUGGGAUAAGCCUGGGAAACUGGGUCUAAUACCGAAUAUUUCCUGCUGGCCGCAUGGUCUGGUGGGGGAAAGCUUUUGCGGUGUGGGAUGAGCCCGCGGCCUAUCAGCUUGUUGGUGGGGUGAUGGCCUACCAAGGCGACGACGGGUAGCCGGCCUGAGAGGGUGUCCGGCCACACUGGGACUGAGAUACGGCCCAGACUCCUACGGGAGGCAGCAGUGGGGAAUAUUGCACAAUGGGCGCAAGCCUGAUGCAGCGACGCCGCGUGGGGGAUGACGGCCUUCGGGUUGUAAACCUCUUUCAGUACCGACGAAGCGCAAGUGACGGUAGGUACAGAAGAAGCACCGGCCAACUACGUGCCAGCAGCCGCGGUAAUACGUAGGGUGCGAGCGUUGUCCGGAAUUACUGGGCGUAAAGAGCUCGUAGGUGGUUUGUCGCGUUGUCCGUGAAAACUCACAGCUUAACUGUGGGCGUGCGGGCGAUACGGGCAGACUGGAGUACUGCAGGGGAGACUGGAAUUCCUGGUGUAGCGGUGGAAUGCGCAGAUAUCAGGAGGAACACCGGUGGCGAAGGCGGGUCUCUGGGCAGUAACUGACGCUGAGGAGCGAAAGCGUGGGGAGCGAACAGGAUUAGAUACCCUGGUAGUCCACGCCGUAAACGGUGGGUACUAGGUGUGGGUUUCCUUCCUUGGGAUCCGUGCCGUAGCUAACGCAUUAAGUACCCCGCCUGGGGAGUACGGCCGCAAGGCUAAAACUCAAAGGAAUUGACGGGGGCCCGCACAAGCGGCGGAGCAUGUGGAUUAAUUCGAUGCAACGCGAAGAACCUUACCUGGGUU